rnacentral:rRNA from 1 species
GAUGAACGCUGGCGGCGUGCCUCAAACAUGCAAGUCGAGCGAGGCUAUGAAUUACCGCAAGGUAAGGCAUAGCCUAGCGGCGAACGGGUGAGUAACACGUGGGUAACCUACCUGGAAGACAGGGAUAACGAUUCGAAAGGGUCGCUAAUACCUGAUAAUAUCCAUCUGCCGGAUGGCGGAGGGAAGAAAGGGGAAACCCGCUUUCAGAUGGGCCCGCGUCCCAUCAGCUAGUUGGUAAGGUAAAGGCUUACCAAGGCGACGACGGGUAGCCGGUCUGAGAGGAUGUACGGCCACACUGGGACUGAGAUACGGCCCAGACUCCUACGGGAGGCAGCAGUUGGGAAUCUUAGGCAAUGGACGAAAGUCUGACCUAGCGACGCCGCGUGAGGGAAGAAGGCCUUGGGUUGUAAACCUCUGUCAUGGGGAAGAAGGAAGUGACGGUACCCAAGAGGAAGCCCCUGCUAACUACGUAG